ensembl:lncRNA
GGGCUAUGGUGUUUAAAUACAUGAUCAUGCCAUCAUGGGGUAUCUGGUUCAGGUAACUGCAGUUAGAACACGAUCCUUACCGUCGUUUUGCAUCAUCGCCUACGUCCAGGUGCGAUACCUGUUUUUCUGCGAGCGCCGCCCACACACCGUCUCCCCGUCCUUUUGAGAAGCACACACAGGCACACGAUCUUGUCUCGACACGCCCCCUCUCACUGAAUCGCAAACUUGUUUGCAAAAAAAAAAAAGGGGAAAGGAGUCCCGGAUUUUCCGUGGACCGUUGUCAGCGUGUGGGGCCGGUGGACGCGGGAUUGUGACACCGCGCGCCGGGAGGCGGUACUAACUCGGAAUGCGGGGGAAGAAAAGUUCUAUAAAAAUUGUCCAGAGUCUGGGGAGAGCGACACAAACGUCGUCUGGUUCCCUGCGGAGAUCGGCGGCUCGCUUCCCCAGAAGCACACUCUUCCCCGGGAGCGAUCCACACACACACAAGACAAGGCCGACAUGGGGCGGCACGAGCGGCAGAGCAACGAGGAGGACAGCGUGGUCCUGCAGGUGAAGCACGACCCCGCCGUGCUCGUGCUCAUGGACCACUGCAGGGAGAUGAAGAGGCAGGAGUGUCGCCUGCGCGUGGCCACUGCCUUCCUCCUGCUUGGAUGCGCGGCGCUCUUCUUAGUCUCCAGCCGCCUCGGGCGCCUGCCGUCGGACACGGUGAAACAUUCAGUAGAACCCAGAAUAGCUGAAUUUGGUGUGUCCCAGAGACAAACAAGUGAAUACCCUGUCAAGCCAAGUGCUCACUUAACAGCACCUUGUGCACUGUCCCAGCCUCAUGUCAUCCACUGGAACGACAACCAGGCCAUUAUCCAGGGCUUCAAGUACAAGGAGGGAGAGCUCAUUGUGCCGCAGUCGGGCAAAUACCACGUCUACCUGCAGAUCACCUUCCGGAAGCCUGAAAGUUACAACUGCAGCGAGGGUGACUUGUUCAUACCGCUGCGACCUGAGGUCAGAGUGUGGCAAGACAGCUACCCGGAAUACGUGCCCCUGAUGUCCGCCUCAGAUUAUCUGUCCUGCAAGGAGAUAUUUGAAAAGUCCAUCUAUACAGCUGGCAUGUAUGAUCUAGAGAAGAAUAGCAAACUGCAGGUUUGGUAUGGCGCAGAUAAGGAGCUGGCUGUUCAGACCGACGAGCAAAAAAUAUUCUUUGGUGCUUUCCUUGUUUAGAUAAGCUAUUAUGUUCAGACAUCAAAUUUGAAAAGGUAUUUUUUUUUUUUUUUACAGAGGUUUUAUUACUAUGAAUUUUUUAAAUUAUUUUAUUCAGUAUAGAUUUCAGGCUGGGUGUAAGAUCAGCAUUAUGGACAUAAAAUCAAAAGCAAAGUCCAGAUGUACCUGAUCUCAGUCUAGUGUCUUUGUCCACAAAAACUUCCUGUUAUGUCCAAGAGGGGCCCAGCACACGUUUUAUAUUAAAACUGUGCCUAUCUCAUCACUGUUACUAUGUAAAUUGGCUAUAUGUCCACACCUGGAGGGACAGUACUGAAGAUGUUUUAUUUAAUAAAGUGUUUUACUGGAUGGUCA